rnacentral:rRNA from 1 species
AUUGAACGCUGGCGGCAGGCUUAACACAUGCAAGUCGAGCGGAGAGAGGUAGCUUGCUACUGAUCUUAGCGGCGGACGGGUGAGUAAUGCUUAGGAAUCUGCCUAUUAGUGGGGGACAACAUUUCGAAAGGAAUGCUAAUACCGCAUACGUCCUACGGGAGAAAGCAGGGGAUCUUCGGACCUUGCGCUAAUAGAUGAGCCUAAGUCGGAUUAGCUAGUUGGUGGGGUAAAGGCCUACCAAGGCGACGAUCUGGAGCGGGUCUGAGAGGAUGAUCCGCCACACUGGGACUGAGACACGGCCCAGACUCCUACGGGAGGCAGCAGUGGGGAAUAUGGGACAAGGGGCGGAAGCCUGAUCCGCCCAUGCCGGGUGUGUGAAGAAGGCCUUAUGGUUGUAAAGCACUUUAAGCGAGGAGGAGGCUACUUUAGUUAAUACCUAGAGAUAGUGGACGUUACUCGCAGAAUAAGCACCGGCUAACUCUGUGCCAGCCGCCGCCGUAACAC